GGACCUGACUGCUAUCGGAUUGAUACUAAGCCAUGCUAGUCUUUGUAGUAAUACAAGGCAUACGGCUCAGUAACGCGUAGUCAACCUACCCUAUGGACGGGGAUAAUCUCGGGAAACUGAGCAUAAUACCCGGUAGACCACUUCUCCUGGAAUGGUUAGUGGUUAAAAUGAUUCGUCGCCAUAGGAUGGGACUGCGGCCUAUCAGCUUGUUGGUGAGGUAAUGGCCCACCAAGGCGAUUACAGGUACGGGCUCUGAGAGGAGAAGCCCGGAGAUGGGUACUGAGACAAGGACCCAGGCCCUAUGGGGCGCAGCAGGCGAGAAAACUUUGCAAUGUGCGAAAGCACGACAAGGUUAAUCCGAGUGAUUUCUGCUAAAGGAAUCUUUUGUUAGUUCUAAAUAUACUAGUGAAUAAGGGGUGGGCAAGUUCUGGUGU
rnacentral:rRNA from 1 species